rnacentral:misc_RNA from 1 species
AGCAGCCGCGGUAAUUCCAGCUCCAAUAGCGUAUAUUAAAGUUGUUGCAGUUAAAAGCUCGUAGUUGAACUUCGGGGUUUACUCAUUGGUCAGGCUUAAUUGUCUGUACUGGUGAGAUGAAUCUCUACCUUCUGAGGAACUUUCAUGCCAUUUAUUUGGUGUGAUUGGAAAUCAGGACUGUUACUUUAGAAAAAUUAGAGUGUUUAAAGCAGGCUAACGUCUGAAUACAUUAGCAUGGAAUAAUGAAAUAGGACG